rnacentral:rRNA from 1 species
UACAGAGGGUGCAAGCGUUAAUCGGAAUUACUGGGCGUAAAGCGUGCGUAGACGGUUAUUUAAGUCAGGUGUGAAAGCCCCGGGCUCAACCUGGGAAUUGCAUUUGAGACUGAAUAGCUAGGGUGCGGAAGAGGGAAGCGGAAUUUCCGGUGUAGCGGUGAAAUGCGUAGAUAUCGGAAGGAACACCGGUGGCGAAGGCGGCAUCCUGGACCGGCAUUGACGCUGAGGCGCGAAAGCCAGGGGAGCAAAGCGGG